UAUGGAGGGUGCAAGCGUUAUCCGGAUUCACUGGGUUUAAAGGGUGCGUAGGCGGGCAGGUAAGUCCGCGGUGAAAUCCUGGGGCUUAACCCCAGAACUGCCGUUGAUACUAUCUGUCUUGAAUACUGUGGAGGUGAGCGGAAUAUGUCAUGUAGCGGUGAAAUGCUUAGAUAUGACAUAGAACACCAAUUGCGAAGGCAGCUCACUACACAGCCAUUGACGCUGAGGCACGAAAGCGUGGGGAUCAAACAGG
rnacentral:rRNA from 1 species